rnacentral:rRNA from 1 species
CACGGGGGGAGCAAGCGUUGUUCGGAAUCACUGGGCGUAAAGGGAGUCUAGGCGGUCAGAUAAGUGGAAUGUGAAAUCCCGAGGCUCAACCUCGGGUCUGCAGUCGAUACGGGCAAACUAGAGUAUUGCAGGGGAGACUGGAAUUCCUGGUGUAGCGGUGAAAUGCGCAGAUAUCAGGAGGAACACCGGUGGCGAAGGCGGGUCUCUGGGCAAUAACUGACGCUGAGGAGCGAAAGCGUGGGGAGCGAACAGG